UGUCCUCAUGUUCCUACUUUGUACAUCUUA
rnacentral:piRNA from 1 species